GCGCCUGUGGCUCAAAGGAGUAGGGCACCGGCCCCAUAUGCCGGAGGUGGUAGGUUCAAAGGUUCCAACCCAGCCCCA
rnacentral:tRNA from 1 species